GAUGUUUCCAGAACGGAUGUUCUCUGUGACUGUCUUGACGGUAAGGUGUUUACUUGAAACUACUAGGGGAGGAUGGAAUAACAAUGGAAGAUGAAUCUGUUGUGAAAGGAGCACUGUACUGCAUUGCUGGAGACAACUUGGGCUCUCACUGCAUUGGUGGUUUCAUGGAAAAUUUCAGUUCCUCUGCGUACUUCUGUAGAUAUUGUCUGAUCACUCGGACUGAAUUUCAGGGUGCUGAUCCAGCCAUCGUUGGACCGGAGUGGUCUCCAGAAACCUAUAGAUCUGCCACUGAACAGCUAGAGACGGAGGAUGUGACAGAAGUACACGGGGUAAAGUUCAGAUAUGACGGAAACUCAAAUACCAAAGAAGAUAAUUGAUGCAAUUGCAGCAGUGAUUCCAGGUCUUCCAGAUGAAGUUGUGAAGUUGGUAGAGGAUACUUUGGAAGUACUUGGUGCUACCACCACAGAUUGUCACACCGCGGUGAGGGAUGUCCUGUCUUGGGUUUUUUGUCUUGUGAAUUUCAUGUUUUAUUUUGAAAAGUAACUCUCCUCUCGUUUCAGGUCACUUGCCCUCCCUCUUGUGUCCCCGGUCUGACGUCAUCCCUGAUCCCUGAUUGUUUUCACCUGUGUUCCCCUCCCUCGUGUGUAUAAAGUCUUUGUCUUCCCCUGUCUGCGUCGCAGAAGUAUCUCGUCAUUUGUCGUGUACGGAAGCCUUUACCACAGUCUUGCUAAGAAAACCCUCGAGCUAAGUAUUGUCAAGUUUUGUUUUCUGUAUUUGUUCUCUUUGGUUGUUUGACUCUUUUGGUUCCUAACGUUUCUGGUUAGAGUUUUGAUUUUCAGUUUAGGACUUUCAUAGCCUGUUAUUUUCCUCCGUGUGGAGCGCCUUUUGUUGUACCUUUUGAUAUUCAGAGUAGAUAUUUUUUAUAGCCUAUGUGCUGUCCUCUUCGGAGUAGUUUUUGUUUUCUAUUAAGUUUAUAGCUAAAGUUUGAAGAAUAGUGUAGAUUCCUCCUUCGGGAGCGCUUUUUGUUUUAUGUGUUACUUGUAUUGUUUGUCUUGUCUGUCUUCAUAGUAUUUUUCAUAGCCAUUGCUUUGUCAUUCAGUCUGAAAGAGAUUCAAAUCAGUAAAAUAAAACCUGUCAUUACAUCAUCAUUCUGCAUCUGAGUCCUCUCUCCUUGUCUGAGCCUGACACAGAUGAUCUGAAGUACAUCAAAGAAGGAGACUUGCUGCCAGUAUUAAAGCCCAUACAAUCCAGAAGACUGGUUAAUGCAUGGGCCCAAAAUGAUUACCAGAUUGUUGUACUUUCACAGACUCAAUUGCUUCAACUCCAAACUUAGUGUGUUCCUCUCCACUGCCUGUUCAAUCCUCUCCAACUUCGGUCCCACCCCAGUCUUCACCAGCGUCAUCCACAGCUACCUCAUCAUCCUCAAUAAGCUGCUCCCCCUUUGUGCCACACUGGGUAGACAGUUUUCAGAUACCAUGGCAGAAGCUCCCUGAAGAGUUACUGCAGACUUUGGAAAGACAGAAAUGUCCAAGUGCACGACUGCGAAGAGAAAUGGUAAGGAUUAUCGUUACUGAAAUGAUUUGUAAGAAUCCAACCAAACGCAACACUACAGAGAUGGCAAAAAGAAUGGUGGCUAAGUAUCCAAAGUCACUUGAAGAUGUGAUUGAUGGUGAUGUUAUGUUAUUGGACUUGGAUUUCAUUCCCUGGUAAAGCAACUCCAGUCAAGAACUGAAAAUGUCAAACGACCAGACACACCAAAGAUAACGAAACGCAAUGCGGAAUCAGAUGAGGACACUGACACUGUGGUGAGUCAGAAGAAGAAAAAAAGAAAUGAAGAAGAUGUUUAAACAGAAGAACUACACAGCUGAAGAUGUGAAAGAAUUAGUCAAGUCCACCUAUUACACGCAGCGAAAAGACAUCAACAAAGGUACAAGCAUCCAGGAGCUAUGCCUAUGAGCUAUAUUUUUGUUUCAUGAAGCUGGUAUGGAAGGACACUUCCAGCAUCUUACUGGUGUAAAUCUGAGACCUUUUUUGCAAAUGUGGACAAAAAUGGGAAGCGCCUCUUAAACUUCUUCAAAACUGUGUCUGCACAAAAACGCAAACAAGUCCUGGAUUCUCUCCUCAAGCUUCAAACUGAAAGAAGCCAGUCCAGUGGCUGCUCAGAGGAACUGACAGAGAUGGUAUUUCUUUUACUGGCUCACUUUGGUGAGAAAGAAGAACAUCUCUUCCAUUACAUCGAGAAGACAAGCCGUGCUGAGCAGGUUCAGAUGGAGAGUGUGCCAGCAACACCCUGCCUCAUUGUGUGUGGGUCCUCCUGCUUUGCUGCUGACAUAUUCAUGUUGAGCAUUGACCAAAAGGUUGUUAACGACCACAUCACUUCCUUCAUAUCUGCCAUCUGCCUGUUGUUUGACAGAUACUACUGUUUUAACAUACACUACCCAGUGGAAUUGCGGUCAAUACUGGAGUUCCUCCAAAGGUGUUUCUUUUUUAUAAAUCCUGAGAGAGGCACCAAGGUCAGGCACAAGAAGAAGAAGAAAGUGUUCUCAGUCAAUCCAAGAGUCCUCACUCUGAUCUCAGACCUGGCAGACCAUGAGUGGACCUAGACCUUCCCACAGUGUUUGGAGUCAUGUGAUGAAGGUAUACUGAAUGUAACAUACACUGCAGAUAAUACUGUUAAAACUGCACCAAAAGUUCUGAAAGUUGCUGUAAAUUUUUACUAGGUGAAUUGUGUGGUACUUUGUUCACUGCACUGGAUUGCACUUUGUACAUGUUCCGCUUUACUGCAGUAGAUUUUAUCUCUGUCGGCCCCUAGAGGAAUUGUGAGUGAUUACAAAAACACUGUCCAAACAAACAAUCUCAGCAUCUAAAACUUACUCAAUGUCUCUGUUGCCAUGAUGGCGUUGUAUGUGUAGCGCCUUUGUUAACUCAUAAGGAAAAAAGUGUGAAUAUAUAUGUGGAACGGUUCUACCUCAUAUUGUCCCUCGGGAAACAGUGCCCGUCUAUGGGCAGGUCCCGCUGUUUACUAUGAGAUGAAUGUGAUUGAUGAUAUGAUGUGAUUUAGAAAACUUUCCUGUGUUUUGAUAGACCAGGGAUGAUAUGAUUAAAAUUAUGUUAAAAUGCUGUUUGCCAGUGCGGCAAUGUCAAUAGUUUAUAUGUUAUAGUACAGAUAAUUUUCAUUAAAUGAAAAUGUUCUAUCAA